rnacentral:lncRNA from 1 species
UUGUACUCCCGCAAGUUUCAAUGAGGUCACGGUAUCCAUCAUGUACAUCACGUGUGUCGUUCCGAGAAUAUGUUGAACAGGCCAUAAUGUAGAAACCUCUGGAUUGCAUGUAGUCCGAGUUUUCCCGGUGCUACACCUUGUUAAAGGGACAGUUUUAGGGUCGAUUUGUCGGCGCGAAGACCCAGACGCGGGAUGCGUUUUUCUGUCGUCACAUUGAUCCUGGCUCUGGUGGUACGUCAUGAUGGCGCCAGCGCGAGCAUCACGUGGGCCACGCGCCAGAUCUUCGAGCAAGUGAUCAACACGGUCACGAGCCUUAAGAGCCCUGCAAGAUGCGGAACCGAACAAAGAAUCAGAUUUCCCCGGAAACUCGCUCAUAAUCUUGAGUUACCUGCUUUUGCUUCCAUUUUUGAUGUGAUGGCCAAUCAUAUACUGGAUAUUGACAAGCAAGAACAUCUACCAUUACAAUUUGCCAAGUACAAACACCAAAUAACAAAGCUCCCCGAGCAACUGAUGGAACUGCGUGGUCACCUGCUUAACCAGGAACAAUUGAAAAAUCGUAUGAAAAAGACGGAGGGAAGAAAGAACCUCAACGCAUAUAUCAAAAGACUGAAGAAUCUACCGAUGGACACCGACUGUGGUUUCUGGGUCAUGCUCAGCGCCGUCCGACAAUCCGUGAACACACUAACCACCACAGUCCUCAACCUCCGACGACGCCACUCUCAUCGGUGAACGCUUUCGACCGAAAGAGACCGUGCCUUGUUUGCCAAGCCAACGGAAUACCUCACCGUAAAGUCCAAGUUCACUUGUGACCCCGAUGACCACUGGCCCCAGAACUCUUACAUCAUUCAGUCGACCUGUCAGAAACUGUUUAUUGGAGUUAUCCAUGCAAACCAAUUUAUGCAGGUUUCUAUCUUUUCACUGUGACCUUUCAAGUUUACAUACCGAGCUCAAUAAAUCACGAAGGGAAGUGAACUCUGAGUGAUAUGCCAUUCGAGUUCCAAAGGAGAACAGCUGGGAUAACAUGAACAGUAACAGGGUGUUCCAGAAGAGUAUUACAUAAAAAUCAUAUUCAACAUCAAAUGAGCCUUACAGGGAUAUUAAAAGUGACAUGCACGGUGAAAUCGCACAUUAACAUCUGGAGAAGAAAGUUGGGUAUUUCAUCAAAAUUGUUUUCUGUGUAAUGUUUGUGAAAGAAAUAUUUUAUUCGACACCCGGGGGGG